rnacentral:rRNA from 1 species
CAAAGGGCGCAUGGUGAAUGCCUUGGCAUCAGGAGCCGAUGAAGGACGUGAUAAGCUGCGAUAAGCUUCGGGUAGGCGCACAUAGCCUGAGAUCCGAAGAUCUCCGAAUGAGGAAACUCACAUGGGAAACCCCAUGUAUCAUUAAGUGAAUACAUAGCUUAAUGAAGGUAACCCAGGGAACUGAAACAUCUAAGUACCUGGAGGAAGAGAAAGAAAAAUCGAUUUUCUUAGUAGCGGCGAGCGAAAGGGAAAGAGCCCAAACCGGAAACUUGUUUCCGGGGUUGUGGACAUAGCAUGAAAGUGGAGGCUAUUGUAACUGAAGAGAACUGGAAAGUUCCACCGUAGAAGGUAAUAGUCCUGUAAGUGAAACGAGAAGACCACGAGUUAUGAUCCAGAGUACCACGAGACACGUGAAACCUUGUGGGAAGCAGGGAGGACCACCUCCCAAGGCUAAAUACUACCUGAUGACCGAUAGUGAAGAAGUACCGUGAGGGAAAGGUGAAAAGAACCCCGGGAGGGGAGUGAAAUAGAACCUGAAACCGUGUGCCUACAACCGCUCAGAGCCCCUUAUGAGGGUGAUGAGGUGCUUUUUGUAGAACGAGCCAACGAGUUACGGUAUGUAGCAAGGUUAAGUACUUAAGGUACGGAGCCGAAGGGAAACCGAGUCUGAAUAGGGCGACUAGUUGCAUGCCGUAGACCCGAAACCGGGUGACCUAUCCAUGGCCAGGUUGAAGCGAGGGUAAAACCUCGUGGAGGACCGAACCACGUUGCUGUUGAAAAAGCAUGGGAUGAGCUGUGGAUAGCGGAGAAAUUCCAAUCGAACCCGGAGAUAGCUGGUUCUCUCCGAAAUAGCUUUAGGGCUAGCGUCGAGUAUGAGUAGUGGAGGUAGAGCACUGAAUGGGCUAGGGGGCAUAGCGCUUACCGAACCUUAUCAAACUCCGAAUGCCACAUACUUUGAGCUCGGCAGUCAGACUACGAAUGAUAAGAUCCGUGGUCAAAAGGGAAACAGCCCAGAUCGUCAGCUAAGGUCCCAAAGUGUAAGUUAAGUGGGAAAGGAUGUGAGAUUUCUAAGACAACUAGGAUGUUGGCUUAGAAGCAGCCAUUCAUUAAAAGAGUGCGUAAUAGCUCACUAGUCGAGAGAUCUUGCGCCGAAAAUGUAACGGGGCUAAACUUACCACCGAAGCUACGGGCUUGAACUUAGUUCAAGCGGUAGGAGAGCGUCGUAACCGGGCUGAAGUCGUACCGUAAGGAGCGGUGGACUGGUUACGAGUGAGAAUGUUGGCAUCAGUAGCGAGAUGUGGGUGAGAAUCCCACAGGCCGAAAACCUAAGGUUUCCUCAGGAAGGUUCGUCCGCUGAGGGUUAGUCGGGACCUAAGCCGAGGCCGAAAGGCGUAGGUGAUGGACAACUGGUUGAUAUUCCAGUACCACUACCAUCGUUAUUAUCGAUGGCGUGACGCAGGAGGAUAGUGUGUGCUAGCUAUUGGAUGCUAGUCUAAGCGUUUAGGCAGUGAGAGUAGGCAAAUCCGCUCUCAUAAUGCUGAGGCGUGAUGGGGAAGGUUCCACGGAACCGAAGUACAUGAUUCCACGCUGCCAAGAAAAGCGUCUAGAGAGAGAAGUAGUGCCCGUACCGCAAACCGACACAGGUAGGUGAGGAGAGAAUCCUAAGGCCGGCGGAAGAAUUACAGUUAAGGAACUCGGCAAAUUGACCCCGUAAGUUCGCGAGAAGGGGUGCCUACGAGAGUAGGCCGCAGAGAAUAGGCCCAAGCAACUGUUUAGCAAAAACACAGGUCUCUGCUAAAGCGUAAGCUGAUGUAUAGGGGCUGACGCCUGCCCGGUGCUGGAAGGUUAAGGGGAACACUUAGCGCAAGCGAAGGUGUGAACUUAAGCCCCAGUAAACGGCGGCCGUAACUAUAACGGUCCUAAGGUAGCGAAAUUCCUUGUCAGGUAAGUUCUGACCCGCACGAAUGGCGUAAUGACUUGGGCACUGUCUCAACUGUAAAUCCGGCGAAGUUGUAGUGCGAGUGAAGAUGCUCGCUACCCGCGAUUGGACGGAAAGACCCCGUAGAGCUUUACUGUAGCUUAGCAUUGAGUUUUGGUAUUGUCUGUACAGGAUAGGUGGGAGACUAGGAAACCAGGGCGUCAGCCUUGGUGGAGUCAACCUUGGGAUACCACCCUGACAGUACUGAAAUUCUAACUGGCGGCCAUGAAUCUGGUCACAGGACAUUGUUAGGUGGGCAGUUUGACUGGGGCGGUCGCCUCCUAAAAAGUAACGGAGGCGCCCAAAGGUUCCCUCAGAACGGUCGGAAAUCGUUCGAAGAGUGCAAAGGCAGAAGGGAGCCUGACUGCGACACCCACAAGUGGAGCAGGGACGAAAGUCGGGCUUAGUGAUCCGGUGGUACCUCGUGGGAGGGCCAUCGCUCAACGGAUAAAAGCUACCUCGGGGAUAACAGGCUGAUCUCCCCCAAGAGUCCACAUCGACGGGGAGGUUUGGCACCUCGAUGUCGGCUCGUCGCAUCCUGGGGCUGAAGUAGGUCCCAAGGGUUGGGCUGUUCGCCCAUUAAAGCGGCACGCGAGCUGGGUUCAGAACGUCGUGAGACAGUUCGGUCCCUAUCUGUCGCGGGCGUAGGAAAUUUGAGAGGAGCUGUCCUUAGUACGAGAGGACCGGGAUGGACUGACCUCUGGUGUACCAGUUGUUCCGCCAGGAGCACAGCUGGGUAGCUAAGUCGGGAAUGGAUAAACGCUGAAAGCAUCUAAGCGUGAAGCCAACCUCAAGAUUAGAUUUCCCAUAGCGUAAGCUAGUAAGAUCCCUUGAAGAACACAAGGUUGAUAGGUCGGGGGUGUAAGCAUGGUAACAUGUUCAGCUGACCGAUACUAAUAGAUCGAGGGCUUGACCA